GCCCGCCUAGCUCAAUCGGAUAGAGCGUCAGACUUUUACGCUGAUCAGAGCUAUGGGCAGUAAUAUCUGAAGGCUGCGAGUUCGACCCUCGCGGUGGGCU